GAGCACAAUAACACUCUUCAACAGAGAAAAUUCUCAGCUACAAAACACUACUUCUCAACACAGCCACCACCAUUACCCAGAUCAUACAGGCUUCCCAUGAGGGCACAGACUACAACAACACAAACUACUGGAACUUCAAAGUGCAGCAAACAUAUGACGCAGACUUGCCCUACCUUCCUAAUGGUGACUGCUUCACAGCUGAAUCAGGACUAUAACUGCUAUUACAAAUGUACGUCACCCCUGA